GACGAACCGAGCGAACGUUGUUCGGAAUCACUGGGCUUAAAGGGCGCGUAGGCGGGUGCUCAAGUCCGGGGUGAAAUCCCACAGCUCAACUGUGGAAUUGCCUCGGAUACUGGGCGUCUCGAGGGUGGCAGGGGUAUGCGGAACUAUCGGUGGAGCGGUGAAAUGCGUUGAUAUCGAUAGGAACUCCGGUGGCGAAGGCGGCAUACUGGUCCACUUCUGACGCUGAGGCGCGAAAGCCAGGGGAGCGGAACGG
rnacentral:rRNA from 1 species